UGUAGAAAAUUAGUUCGUUUUUGCCUUUUUUUUUCUUUUCUUUUUUUUUUCCCUUGAGCCUAUAUUUUGCUUGGUGAUUUACGAGAAAAAGAAAACGAACAAAAAAAAAACAACAAAAAAAAUGAACAAAAAAACCCUAAAAUCCUUUAGAAAAGAGAAAAAAAAAUACACGAGUCUUAAAAGUUUGUAUGUAAUAGCAUGCAAAUAAUAUCCGAGUUAAUUUAACGAUGUUGGGAAGAAGCCGAAUGCACUAUAUACAGGAAUCGAUUGGGUGAAAUAAUACUGUUUUAUAGAGAUUUAAAAUUAUCUAUGCUCUUAAAAAUAGUGGGGAGGGGAGGGAGGGGAAGAGGUAACAAUUUUAGGGUGACCUGAAAGGCAAUAUAGUAAUAUAUGGACUGCAAACGGUUGGCUGCUAUCUCACUAUGCACCAGAUUUAUUUAUUAACCCUCGGGAAACGGAAAAAUCUUAUUUUAACCUCGAUGUUUGGAAAAAAAAAAAAAAAGGACGGCAAGAAAAUGCACAUUAUUUGUUGUGGAAACAAGAGGAAAAAAAAAGAGGAUUAAGAAUUCGUGCAAUCGUUGGAGCGAAAGCGGGACCGAUCCUGCGCGGAGGAGCGGGGCGGCCGGGUUCUGGGUGGUUUUGGUUUUCUUUCCCGGCUGGAGGGUCCUGGAGACCUUCGUCCCUGCAGCUGCUGAAAAGUCACCGGAUCCAGUUUGGUCCCAGCUUGUCCGACACCGUCCUGACGAGCCGCUGGCUUGAUUUUCAACGGCUCAGCCGUGGCAGGUCCCCAGGCUGUGGCGUGUUCCCUCCUGCCGCUUCCAUAAGUCUCCACCGUGCUCAUGUAACCCCCCGGCUUCUCCUGGGAU
rnacentral:lncRNA from 1 species